AAUGGGCGAAAGCCUGACGGAGCAACGCCGCGUGAGGGAGGAAGGUCUUUGGAUUGUAAACCUCUUUUCUCAAGGAAGAAGUUCUGACGGUACUUGAGGAAUCAGCCUCGGCUAACUCCGUGCCAGCAGCCGCGGUAAUACGGGGGAGGCAAGCGUUAUCCGGAAUUAUUGGGCGUAAAGCGUCCGCAGGUGGUCAGCCAAGUCUGCUGUCAAAUCAGGUUGCUUAACGACCUAAAGGCGGUGGAAACUGGCAGACUAGAGAGCAGUAGGGGUAGCAGGAAUUCCCAGUGUAGCGGUGAAAUGCGUAGAGAUUGGGAAGAACAUCGGUGGCGAAAGCGUGCUACUGGGCUGUAUCUGACACUCAGGGACGAAAGCUAGGGGAGCGAAAGGGAUUA
rnacentral:rRNA from 2 species